rnacentral:tRNA from 1 species
AUUCAUUUAGUUUAAGAAAACAUUUUAUUUUCAUUAAAAAAAAAGGAACCAACCUAAUGAAUU